rnacentral:rRNA from 1 species
GAUCAUGGCUCAGGAUGAACGCUAGCUACAGGCUUAACACAUGCAAGUCGAGGGGAAACGACAUUGAAGCCUGCUUCGAUGGGCGUCGACCGGCGCACGGGUGAGUAACGCGUAUCCAACCUGCCUCUGACUAAGGGAUAACCCGGCGAAAGUCGGACUAAUACCUUAUGAGGUUUUCAGCAGACAUCUAACGAAAACGAAAGAUUUAUCGGUCAGUGAUGGGGAUGCGUCUGAUUAG